rnacentral:rRNA from 1 species
UGGGGAAUAUUGCACAAUGGGGGAAACCCUGAUGCAGCGACGCCGCGUGAGCGAAGAAGGUUUUCGAAUCGUAAAGCUCUGUCCUAUGGGAAGAUAAUGACGGUACCAUAGGAGGAAGCCCCGGCUAACUACGUGCCAGCAGCCGCGGUAAUACGUAGGGGGCAAGCGUUGUCCGGAAUCACCGGGCGUAAAGGGUUCGCAGGCGGAAAUGCAAGUCAGUUGUGAAAGGCAGAGGCUCAACCUCUGUAAGCAAUUGAAACUGUAUUUCUUGAGAUGUGGAGAGGCAAGUGGAAUUCCUAGUGUAGCGGUGAAAUGCGUAGAUAUUAGGAAGAAUACCGGUGGCGAAGGCGACUUGCUGGACACAAACUGACGCUGAGGAACGAAAGCGUGGGUAGCAAACAGG